CAGCUACUUCCUCCGUUCUGAAUUACUUGUCUUGGAUUUGUCUAGAUACAGAUGUAUCUAGACUCAUUUUAAUGCUAGCCGUAUCUAGACAAAUCCAAGACAAGUAAUUUGGAACGGAGGGAGUACAUC
rfam:Triticum urartu cultivar G1812 contig6874, whole genome shotgun sequence.